rnacentral:pre_miRNA from 9 species
UCUCGAUAGCGUAAAAGUUAACUCAAAUUUGUAUGUAGAUGGAACUGCCUACGUUUGCCGCUAGGGGCGCUGUUCCAACUGCAUACAAAUUUGAGUUAGCUUUUACGAUAUCGA